UUCAGUAACUAAUGGAUAGUUGA
rnacentral:piRNA from 1 species